rnacentral:tRNA from 1 species
GGCACGGUAGCUUUGUGGUUAGAGCGUUGGGCUAGUAACCGAAAGGUUGCAAGUUCGAAUCCCUGAGCUG